GACGAACGCUGGCGGCGUGCCUAAUACAUGCAAGUCGAACGCAGUGGGGGCGGGUGAGUAACACGUGGGUAACCUCCCAUCAGAGGGGAUAAAACUUGGAAAAUGGUGCUAAACCGGUACUGGUGGAUGGUCUCGGUGGGCAUUAGCUAGUGGGGGAGGUAACGGCUCACCACGGCUACGAUGCAUAGCUGAUCUGAGAGGAUGAUCGGCCACACUGGGACUGAGACACGGCCCAGACUCCUACGCGAGGCAGCAGUAGGGAAUCUUCCGCAAUGGACGAAAGUCUGACCGAGCAACGCCGCGUGAGUGAAGAAGGUUUUCGGAUUGUAAAACUCUGUUGUUAGAGAAGCGGUAUCUAAAGAAAAAGCAACGGCUAACUACGUGCCAGCAGCCGCGGUAAUAG
rnacentral:rRNA from 1 species